rnacentral:ncRNA from 1 species
GCGGGAGUGCGCUUCGGCGCUGAGAUGGGCACCGCCCAAAUCCCUAUUACCUGAUCCGGAUCAUACCGGCGGAGGGAGCGUU